GACGAACGCUGGCGGCGUGGAUUAGGCAUGCAAGUCGAACGGUAUCAUCCUUUCGGGGGUGAGAGAGUGGCGAACUGGUGAGUAACACGUAGGUUAUCUACCCUCAAGACGGGGACAACCCAGGGAAACUUGGGCUAAUACCGGAUGUGAGCAACUUUUAGUUGUUUGAAAGGUGGCGUAAGCUGUCGCUUGGGGAUGAGCCUGCGUCCUAUUAGUUAGUUGGUGAGGUAACGGCUCACCUAGGCAAUGAUAGGUAGGCGGCCUUAACGGGUGGUCGCCCACACUGGGAUUGAGAUACGGCCCAGACUCCUACGGGAGGCAGCAGUCGAGAAUAGUCUACAAUGGUCGGAAGACUGAUAGUGCGACGCCGCGUGAACGAUGAAUCCCUUCGGGGUGUAAAGUUCUUUUAUAUGUGAGCAGUGCUUCUUAUAUUAACAGUAUGGGGAGAGAGAUAUUAGCAUAUGAAUAAGAACGGCUAAACUCCGUGCCAGCAGCCGCGGU
rnacentral:rRNA from 1 species